AUUGAACGCUGGCGGCAGGCCUAACACAUGCAAGUCGAGCGGAUGAAGGGAGCUUGCUCCUGGAUUCAGCGGCGGACGGGUGAGUAAUGCCUAUGAAUCUGCCUGGUAGUGGGGGAUAACGUCCUGAAACGGGCGCUAAUACUGCAUACGUCCUGAUGGAGAAAGUGGGGGAUCUUCGGACCUCACGCUAUCAGAUGAGCCUAGGUCGGAUUAGCUAGUUGGUGGGGUAAAGGCCUACCAAGGCGACGAUCCGUAACUGGUCUGAGAGGAUGAUCAGUCACACUGGAACUGAGACGCGGACCAGACUCCUACGGGAGGCAGCAGUGGGGAAUAUUGGACAAUAGGCGAAAGCCUGAUCCAGCCAUGCCGCGUGUGUGAAGAAGGUCUUGGGAUUGUAAAGCACUUUAAGUUGGGAGGAAGGGCAGUAAGUUAAUACCUUGCUGUUUUGACGUUACCAACAGAAUAAGCACCGGCUAACUUCGUG
rnacentral:rRNA from 1 species